rfam:Oryza sativa (indica cultivar-group) chromosome 1, whole genome shotgun sequence.
AAAAAGACAAACCCUGGAUUUCCGUGUCCAACGUUUGACCGUCCGUCUUAUUUAAAAAAAUUAUGAAAAAAAUUUAAAAAAUAAGUCACGCAUAAAGUAUUAAUCAUGUUUUAUUAUCGAACAACAAUAAAAAUACUAAUUAUAAAAAAUUUCAUAUAAGACGGACACAACCGAACGUUGGACACGGAAACCAGGUUUGUCUUUUUU